rnacentral:sRNA from 1 species
AGGGCGUGCCUUUCAGGCAUCCUCUCCUAGACUUCAGGGCUGGCUCAUCGAGCCGGCCCUUUUUUUUGGCCGUU